UCGAUUUAUUAUUUGUACCAAGUGAAUAAAAGUCUCAAUGACAAGUAUUUUCAUAGUGUGAAGUGUAAAAUGUAUAACAAAAACAUAGAUAUGAUACAAUACAAAGGAUUAAAAUGCGGUGCCACGAUAAAUCUUUGAAUCUAACAGUCACUCAAUACGAUAAAUGCGGGGAUCAUCUAGAUGGAAAAAUAUUCUCUUCGUGUUAUAAUCUGGCGAGAGGAUGACCCCAGCUUCUGGUCUCAUGUGAGAUGGAAAACUGCGCAUACUAUCGACCUUUGAACGGGAAAACAUAUCACCUAAGUAAUAUGCUUUGAAAACUCGAGAAUUCCGACAGUUCGAUAGAAGGACCCUUCAGCAACCCAGGGAGGUCGUUCACGGGGAUGAGCCCAUGGGGAGCUCUCGCUGUUUUGUGCCAGCCAUUUGCCACUCGGCUCCAUACCGUACAUUACGACAGGUACGAUGUCCACGUCGAGAACCGUCGUUCCGGAUAUCAGUCCGAUUUAACUCAAGUACCUUGAGCCGAGCCCUAUUUUUAAAAGCUGCCACGGAAAGAUCCAAUCGCAAUAAAAGGGAAACGACGCGGGAUCUCCACCGUUUUAGUUAUCUUCUAGGACACUGGCACUCGACCACUAGAAAUACAGGCGAAUAAGCCCUCGAUGGAUGAAAACGAUCACAAAUGUCUUUAUGUAUCCAUUUCAAUUGAAAUAGACUGGCAGGAGAGGGCACGAUUACGAACUCAUUUUAAUUCAAUUUAACUGACACAAUUAGGAACAAAUGUGAACACAAUUAUUCCUUUGACAUUCAUUCAAUAAUUGUUCAUGGAGUGAUCGCAAUUAUGAACUCGUUUUAAUUUAGUUUAAUUGACAGAAGUGAUCA